UACGUAGGGGCAAGCGUUGUCCGGAUUUAUUGGCGUAAAGAGCGUGUAGGCGGCCAUGUAGGUCCGUUGUGAAACUCGAGGCUCAACCUCGAGACGCCGAUGGAAACCAUGUGGCUAGAGUCCGGAAGAGGAGAGUGGAAUUCCUGGUGUAGCGGUGAAAUGCGCAGAUAUCAGGAAGAACACCCGUGGCUAAGGCGGCUCUCUAGUACGGUACUGACGCUGAGACGCGAAAGCGUGGGGAGCGAACAGG
rnacentral:rRNA from 1 species